UAUUAACGCUGGCGGCGUGCCUAAUACAUGCAAGUCGAGCGAACGGACGAGAAGCUUGCUUCUCUGAUGUUAGCGGCGGACGGGUGAGUAACACGUGGAUAACCUACCUAUAAGACUGGGAUAACUUCGGGAAACCGGAGCUAAUACCGGAUAAUAUUUUGAACCGCAUGGUUCAAAAGUGAAAGACGGUCUUGCUGUCACUUAUAGAUGGAUCCGCGCUGCAUUAGCUAGUUGGUAAGGUAACGGCUUACCAAGGCAACGAUGCAUAGCCGACCUGAGAGGGUGAUCGGCCACACUGGAACUGAGACACGGUCCAGACUCCUACGGGAGGCAGCAGUAGGGAAUCUUCCGCAAUGGGCGAAAGCCUGACGGAGCAACGCCGCGUGAGUGAUGAAGGUCUUCGGAUCGUAAAACUCUGUUAUUAGGGAAGAACAUAUGUGUAAGUAACUGUGCACAUCUUGACGGUACCUAAUCAGAAAGCCACGGCUAACUACGUG
rnacentral:rRNA from 1 species